GACGAACGCUGGCGGCGUGCCUAACACAUGCAAGUCGAACGAUGACGACCGAGCUUGUUCGGUCUGAUUAUUGCCGAACGCGUGAGUAACACGUGUGCAACCUGCCCUUCACUCUCGUAUAACCUCGCGUAAUCGGGGCUAAUAUCGGAUAUGAUCUCCUGUCGCAUGGCGGGCGUUGGAACGUUUUUCGUUGAAGGAUGGGCUCGGGGCCUAUCGGUUUGUUGGUGAGGUAGUGGCUCACCAAGGCGAUGACGGGUAGCCGGCCUGAGAGGGCGACCGGCGACAAGAGGACUAAGAGACGGACCAGACUGCAACGGGAGGCAGCGGUGGGGAAUAUUACACAGUGGGCGAGAGCCUGAGACGAAGGCGCCGGGUGAGGGAAGACGGCCUUCGGGUUGUAAACCUCUGUCAGCAGAGAAGAAGCGGAAGUGACGGUACCUGCAGAAGAAGCGCCGGCUAACUACGUG
rnacentral:rRNA from 1 species